AGUGAACGCUGGCGGUAGGCCUAACACAUGCAAGUCGAACGGCAGCACAGUAAGAGCUUGCUCUUACGGGUGGCGAGUGGCGGACGGGUGAGGAAUACAUCGGAAUCUACUUUUUCGUGGGGGAUAACGUAGGGAAACUUACGCCAAUACCGCAUACGACCUACGGGUGAAAGCAGGGGAUCUUCGGACCUUGCGCGAUUGAAUGAGCCGAUGUCGGAUUAGCUAGUUGGCGGGGUAAAGGCCCACCAAGGCGACGAUCCGUAGCUGGCCUGAGGGGAUGAUCAGCCACACUGGAACUGAGACACGGUCCAGACUCCUACGGGAGGCAGCAGUGGGGAAUAUUGGACAAUGGGCGCAAGCCUGAUCCAGCCAUACCGCGUGGGUGAAGAAGGCCUUCGGGUUGUAAAGCCCUUUUGUUGGGAAAGAAAAGCAGCAGGUUAAUACCCCGCUGUUCUGACGGUACCCAAAGAAUAAGCACCGGCUAACUUCGUG
rnacentral:rRNA from 1 species